AAAGCAACAAGUAUUUCAAUAUCCACCCCAAGGGUGUCAUACCCCUGGGAGGCUGCAUCGUGGAGCCCAAAGAAGAGCCCAACAUGCCUUAUGCCAUAAAGAUCUCUCAUGAAGACUUCCAUGGUAACAUUGUUCUAGCAGCCGAAUCAGAGUUUGAGCAGGCUCAGUGGCUGGAGAUGCUACAGGAGUCUGGAAAAGUGACCUGGAAGAAUGCCCA